CGAGCCUCGUGCUCUUCUCGAAUUUUCUUCCUUCUCAAUUUUCAUCUCGUGAGUGUAGCAACAUGAAUUAUAGCUUGUCAAGCAAUACAUUUUCUCAGCGUUGAGAAGAUUCUGCUCCAUUUUUUCUGAUUAUGGAUUCUGUUCAGAAGGAAGCCGAAUUUUAAGUCAUCGUUCUAGGAUAGAUUCAGCUCCAUUUUCUCUGGUGGUAGAUCUCCAUGGAUGCUAUUGAGAAGGUACUUCUCAAAGUCCACGAGGACAAGGACAUCUUUCCACCGAAUGCCACCUGGUUUAUAACAAAAGCAUGAAAAACAAACAGGAAUUUCUCAAUGCAGAAAGGACUGAAGCUGUCAAAGGUGUGCUUUUUUUCUGCACAAACAAGUUUCCAUUGAAUGAUAGAAUAAAGAGAUACUGACUUCCCCGGAGCCUCCAAACUUGAGUAGUCAGCAGGCAUUGGGAUCCGUGGAAGGCUUGUUAAAUCCAAAUAGAUUGGUCCUACUCCAUCCGCAGAGUUGCUGACGAGGUGCGUCCAGGCCUUCUCCUCACCUCUCAGGGAGAUAUACCAUGCAGUGCCUUCAGUUAUGGUGUUGUGACUGAGGAUGCUUCGGUCAGACAUGUCCCUGAAAACCUGCAUAGAGGAAUCUCUUGCCCCAAGUUUCAUUCCAAGUAUUUAAAUUGGAAUUGAGCAUCCUGUCAUGCCAGGGAUGAGAAUGCCUGGGUUACAUCAGUUAGCCCUCUCCUCUUGAGGAAUGGCAUAUUACCCAUUUUAGCUGCACUUCAAGGGAAGUUAUUGAAUAUGUCCUAUCCAACUAAAACAAGGAAAUGAUGAAAAAAAUAAAAUCACUUUCCAGAGGCCUCAGGGCUAACUGGAGACAGAGCUCAGACUGCAACUGAGAAAAGUUGGACUCCAAAACCUGUACUCUGAGCUUUACUGCAUGAGAAAGUUAUUGAAAUGUGCCUUGUGACAUUCAGAAUAAGUGACUUUUCAGAGGUCUCAGAGUCAGUAAGAGACAGAACUCAGAUUGUAACCAAGAAGAGCUGAACUCCAAACUUCUGUGUCCGGAAUUGGUGGGUUCUUGGUCUCACUGACUUCAAGAAUGAAGCGGCAGACCCUCGCGG
rnacentral:lncRNA from 1 species